CGCUUCUCACUGCUGAUACUACAAAUAUAUAAAAACAGUACAAUUUUGCUUGUGUAGCAGCUGGUGAAAUGAUGUCUUUGGUGGUUUAUACACGAAUCAACCGUGUGCAAGUUGUAAAACACCAUUAACCACAUUCAUAAAUACACAGAUAACCUAGAAAGCACAAAACACGUUCUGUAUGGCAAAAUCAAGUGAGAGUUGACAUCUGAACGCAGAUCCAAAACAUUCAUCUACCACUCUAAAGUUUCCCGUCUCUUAUUUAAAUAUACAGGACUCUGCACAUGCAUGUUGUGAAUUUUCUUUAAGAAAUACUCAAACCAGAUAAAUGACAAAACUAAACUAUGCCUACAAACCAAAAGACUCAUGUAGAUUAAUGCAAGUGACAGAUGCAUCCUUAGAAGUAACCCAAACAACACUCUAACCUCCCGAUUUAGACUUGAAAAUCUUUCCAAAUUAAAACACUUGUAUUGUUACGUUACAGCAUUUGACAAAGAACCAUGUGCUACUCAAUAAAUGGUACCCUUAAAACUGACCCAAAUGCCGAAGUCAAAAAUAGCCAUCUAAAUGCCGUAAAACUCCUGAUUUGUAUUUUAAAAUCUUUCUAUUUUGAAACACAAGAAACGCUGGAUUAUAAAGCUUCAUAGAAAAAGGAAAUGCAAUUAGAAAAGUAGUUUUGGAGUUUCGUCUCUUAUUCAAACAUACAGAAUCUGUCAUUAAAACAAAAUGCAAUGCAAUUGACAGAUGCAUCUUUAAAAGUGACUCAAAUACAAGUCCAGAAGCACAAAAUAUCAGUGUGUAAAGCUCCCUGGUUUAGAUUACUUUUGCCACAUAGGGUUGCAUUAGCAACAUAACAAAAGCUGAAAUUAAAAAACACUGUAAAAAGUCUCCACGAGCGUACGAUCCUCCGACACGCACGCUUGUGAGUCAGAACCGGAGCAGAGAGGCGCCUGUAAACAUUGAGCACAUGUGCAGGAGUCGAUCAGAGAGAGAGAAACUGAAUAAGAAACACUCACCGAAGGUAGUACUGCUUCAAAACAAAAGCAGCAUUCGAGCAACAUCUGGGGAAAUUGAAAUCCUCGCUCAGUUCGGCCCAAUGGUUCUUGUCGGACACCUGUAGGGUGAUGAGACAGGUCUGGGGGGAAAAGAUCAAACCAUUAUGUCUGCAUUUAAAGGAGUACAAUCUGCGCUUUGUCGCAGCGGAUGAACAGUAAUUUACUCCCGGUCCCUUGCAACACCCGCCGGGCGGAUAUAAACGACACGGGGUUUACCCAGCAUGCCGCUUAGCCAGAUGGCCAGAUCCUCCUGCAUGGGCACCAGCGUGGCUUCGUGCCGCUUGGUCAACCACUGGUCAUACUGGAACACAUCAGUCAGACCCGGGCCGGG